UGGUUGCUCAAAUUAACAAAAGAAAGAAAAAAAACUUCGUCGACCCUUUUUUCCUCUCUCUCUCUUUUCUUUCGAACCGUUCUCAUCGGCAUGACCAACAAUGGCCUGCUCUCUCAGUCACUCUGAAUCCUCAGUCUACCAAUCUCCGUUAAUUUUCCCUCUCGAUCUAUGUGUUGUUCUUCGGUCGUUGUCUCGUUCCCUCUUCUUAAUUUUCGUCAUCUUCAUCGGUGUAAAAUCAAAUUAUUGUGGUCGAAUUUGAGUUAUAAGGAAGAGCUGGGUGAACCUUACUUAAAGUAUUCAAGUUUCAAGUUUUGGGUUUCGCUUUAAAGGUUUUUUUUGGUUAUGGGUCUAUGAGCAACCUGAAGCUUACGAUCACUAAGUCACCUCUAUUGUGGAUGUUAGAUGGACGUUUUGAUGAUGAUUACUUUUAAUAAUCACAUGAAUUCAGCCAAAUCAGACAGGAGUAUGAGAAACAAUGUCUGGACAUGAUAUCUGAAGUACCUGAGCUGAUGGUCCAUGUCACAACCUGCAGGAGCGGGAUAGGCAAGUCUCUGAUGGUUGAAAUUGACACAAAGGUAAGUAUACUGAAAUUCUCUUUUUGAUCGUUGAUUAUGUAGAGAACUGUAGAAUCUCCAUCUUCAGCUUCAGUUUCCUGCGAGCCCAAAACCUGUGAAAGAAUCUGGAAAUGUCCACGAUGAUAAGUUAGUAGAGAUGUAGAGAUGGUAAACACAACAAUUGUGGAUAGAAGCCUUCUGUGAAAUGGAAUGAUGUUGCUGGACUUGAUGGAGCUAAACAAGCUUUACUGCAGAUGGUGAUACUACCGAGAGUACUCUUCAUACAAAUGACUUAUAGCUGGACUUGAUGGAGCUAAACAAGCUUUAUUUUGUAGGAUGCCAUCUCUCAUACAAAUGUCAAAACCUUGCAACUGUAAAACUCAAGAGUACUCUUCAUAAUUCAUUUUUUUUUAGGGUCUGAUUUUAGCCAAUGCCCUGUUUUUUUUCAUCAUCUUUGUUAAUCUUAUACCUUCCUCUUGAU